AGACUCCAAAAUAAAACAGGGAAGCGAUUCCCCUGUCUUUCACGCUUCUGCCAACAAAGGAGGUGUUCUUUAGCCAGAAUGAGAUUCAACCCCAGACCGAUUUCUCACGUCUUUUCGUCAGGACCCAGGAUUGAGAGUUUCUCUUUCAGACUCGGGACUUGAAGGAGACAGAAUAUAUAACCCUAUAAUAUGAUGGCAACCCCGAACUCCAGCAGCGAGUGCUCG